GUCUGCGAUGCUGCGAGAAGUCCAAUGAACCUUAUCAUUUAGAGGAAGGAGAAGUCGUAACAAGGUUUCCGUAGGUGAACCUGCGGAAGGAUCAUUG
rnacentral:rRNA from 1 species